CCUACGGGUGGCAGCAGUGGGGGAUAUUGCACAAUGGGGGAAACCCUGAUGCAGCGACGCCGCGUGGGCGAAGAAGUAUUUCGGUAUGUAAAGCCCUAUCAUCAGGGAAGAAGGAGUGACGGUACCUGAGUAAGAAGCACCGGCUAAAUACGUGCCAGCGGCCGGGGUAAUACGUAUGGUGCAAGAGUUAUCCGGCUUUGUGGGGGUAAAAGGGUGGGUAGGGGGCUUUUUAAGUCGGCGGGAAAAUGUCCGGGCUAACCCCGGGCCGGCCGUUGAAACUGGGGAUCUUGAGUGGGCGAGAGGUAUGCGGAAUGCGUGGUGUAGCGGUGAAAUGCAUAGAUAUCACGAAGAACUCCGGUUGCGAAGGCAGCAUACUGGCGCCCGACUGACGCUGAGGCACGAAAGCGUGGGGAUCGAACAGGAUUAGAUACCCUAGUAGUC
rnacentral:rRNA from 1 species